UUCGUCGGGUAAUUGGAAUGAGUACAAUUUAAAUCCCUUAACGAGGAUCAAUUGGAGGGCAAGUCUGGUGCAGCAGCCGCGGUAAUUCCAGCUCCAAGAGCAUAUAUUAAAGUUGUUGCAGUUAAAAAGCUCGUANUUGGAUUUCUGGUUAAAUGAGCCUGGCCCGCGGCCUUUUUGGCCUGUGAGUGCCGGUGCGCGUUUGCCAUCCUUCUAGGUUUCCUGUCUACCCGUUACUGGGCCGGACUUGCGAUCUAGAUCGUUUACUUUGAAAAAAUUANAGUGUUUAAAGCAGGCUUUUGCUAUGAAUACAUUAGCAUGGAAUAAUAAUCUAGGACUUCGGUUCUAUUUUGUUGGUUUCUAGAUCUGAAGUAAUGAUUGAUAGGGACAGUUGGGGGUGCUCGUAUUCCGUGGCCAGAGGUGAAAUUCUUGGAUUCCCGGAAGACGAACUUAUGCGAAAGCAUUCACCAAGGAUGUCUUCUUUAAUCAAGAACGAAAGUUGGGGGAUCGAAGAGGAUCAGAUACCCUCGUAGUCUCAACCAUAAACUAUGCCAACUAGGGAUGGGUGAACGUUGCAUUUUCGACUUCAUCCGCACCUUAUGAGAAAUCAAAGUCUUUGGGUUCCGGGGGGAGUAUGGUCGCAAGGCUGAAACUUAAAGGAAUUGACG
rnacentral:rRNA from 1 species